rnacentral:rRNA from 1 species
GGGGCAGCGGGGGCGAAGCUUGCUUCGCCUGCCGGCGACCGGCGCACGGGUGAGUAACACGUAUGCGACCUGCCCCCCGCAGGGGGAUAACCGGGAGAAAUCCCGACUAAUACCGCGUAACGCCGCGGGGCUGCAUGGCCCCGCGGCCAAAGGAAGCGAUUCCGGCGGGGGAUGGGCAUGCGGCGCAUUAGCUAGUCGGCGGGGUAACGGCCCACCGAGGCGACGAUGCGUAGGGGUUCUGAGAGGAAGGUCCCCCACACUGGUACUGAGACACGGACCAGACUCCUACGGGAGGCAGCAGUGAGGAAUAUUGGUCAAUGGGCGUAAGCCUGAACCAGCCAAGUCGCGUGAGGGAAGACGGUCCUACGGAUUGUAAACCUCUUUUGCCGGGGAGCAACGGGGUCCUUGCGAGGGCCUUAUGAGAGUACCCGGAGAAAAAGCAUCGGCUAACUCCGUGCCAGCAGCCGCGGUAAUACGGAGGAUGCGAGCGUUAUCCGGAUUUAUUGGGUUUAAAGGGUGCGUAGGCGGGCUGUUAAGUCAGCGGUCAAAUGUCGGGGCUCAACCCCGGCCUGCCGUUGAAACUGGCGGCCUCGAGUGGGCGAGAAGUAUGCGGAAUGCGUGGUGUAGCGGUGAAAUGCAUAGAUAUCACGCAGAACUCCGAUUGCGAAGGCAGCAUACCGGCGCCCGACUGACGCUGAGGCACGAAAGCGUGGGUAUCGAACAGGAUUAGAUACCCUGGUAGUCCACGCAGUAAACGAUGAAUGCUAGCUGUCCGGUUCUACGGGACUGGGUGG